UACGUAGGGGGCAAGCGUUAUCCGGAUUUACUGGGUGUAAAGGGAGCGUAGGUGGUGUGGUAAGUCAGAUGUGAAAGCCCGGGGCUCAACCCCGGGACUGCAUUUGAAACUGCCAUGCUUGAGUGCAGGAGAGGUAAGUGGAAUUCCUAGCGUAGCGGUGAAAUGCGUAGAUAUUAGGAGGAACACCAGUGGCGAAGGCGGCAUCCUGGCCAUGUCCUGACGCUCAGGGGCGAAAGCGUGGGGAGCAAACCGG
rnacentral:rRNA from 1 species